UUGUGUAUAAAACAAAACGCAUUCGAUCAUAUCGCUACCUAUUUCCGACUUUUAUUACGGCUUGGCUGUUUUACACUUUUUUGUAGAAGGAUGUUUGAUUUAUGAAAAUAAGAAGAUGAAAAUAUUAGAGAUAAUUAUAAACCAUUAUGGAUCAUGGUGCUGAUGGGGGACGUUAAAUUUCAUCAAUUAACCAACAGUCGUCUGGUGGGAGAACGACGUUAUAAACUAUAGCAACAUACUUCUACGUUUCACAAGUGUCUGUUAACAUCAUCAAAGACUUGCUUGGCUUGUUUCUGUUUUACGACUUGAUAUGGACCUGCGAAUUUUAUCAUUUUGGACUUGCGAUAACCGGAUUUAUCAUUUUGGAUUUGCGAUAACCGGAUUUAUCAUUUUGGACUUGCGAUAACUGGAUUUAUCAUUUUGGACUUGCAAUACUCAGAUUUAUCAUUUUGGACUUGCGAUAAUCAGAUUUAUCAUUUUGGACUUGCGAUAACCAGAUUGAUCAUUGUGGAUUUGCGAUAUCUAGUUUUAUCAUUUUGGACAUCUUUGGACUCAUCUUUGUUUAGAAUAAAUGACAACGAAAAGUGUUAAAGAAUAAAAAAAUGAUUACAUUAAACAAAUAAAAGUUAAAUAUUU